UCUUAUCUAAUAAAAGAAACUUAUGUUCGAUUUCAGGAUUCACUGACAGGCGUACAUGGUCACAUUGAUAAGGCCAGUGGACCUGUGUUUUAACAAUAACAAUUGGCUUAUCAGAAAGGAUGUAUCAGGAUUCACUGACAGACAUGGUCACAUUGAUAAGGCCAGUGGACCUGUGUUUUAACAAUAACAAUUGGCUUAUCAGAAAGGAUGUAUCAGCGGGCCACGCCCACUCUAACGCCCACACUCCGCGAAAAUCUGUACCGCCUACAGUUUUGAUGAUAGAAACAAAUCGACUUAAACGAUUAAAACUGUCUGCCUCCCACAGCAUUUGAAUACAA